AUUGAACGCUGGCGGCAUGCCUUACACAUGCAAGUCGAACGGUAACAGGUUAAGCUGACGAGUGGCGAACGGGUGAGUAAUAUAUCGGAACGUGCCCAGUCGUGGGGGAUAACGUAGAGAAAGCUACGCUAAUACCGCAUACGAUCUACGGAUAAAAGCGGGGGAUCGCAAGAACCGGCGCGACUGGAGCGGCUGAUAUCAGAUUAGGUUGUUGGUGAGGUAAAAGCUCACCAAGCCUGCGAUCUGUAGCUGGUCUGAGAGGACGACCAGCCACACUGGAACUGAGACACGGUCCAGACUCCUACGGGAGGCAGCAGUGGGGAAUUUUGGACAAUGGACGCAAGUCUGAUCCAGCAAUGCCGCGUGCAGGACGAAGGCCUUCGGGUUGUAAACUGCUUUUGUACGGAACGAAACGGUGAGCUCUAAUACAGUUUGCUAAUGACGGUACCGUAAGAAUAAGCACCGGCUAACUACGUGCCAGCCGCCGCGGUAA
rnacentral:rRNA from 1 species